UACGAAGGGGACUAGCGUUCUUCGGAAUGACUGGGCGUAAAGGGCACGUAGGCGGUGAAUCGGGUUGAAAGUCAAAGUCGCCAAAAACUGGCGGAAUGCUCUCGAAACCAAUUCACUUGAGUGAGACAGAGGAGAGUGGAAUUUCGUGUGUAGCGGUGAAAUGCGCAGAUAUCAGGAAGAACACCCGUGGCGAAGGCGGCUCUCUGGGACGGUACUGACGCUGAGACGCGAAAGCGUGGGGAGCGAACAGG
rnacentral:rRNA from 1 species